UGCAGCUAGAGAAGCUAACUUUCCUUCAAGCUUAUGCUUGAGGGAGGAAGGCGACUCACCCUUUCUCAGGCUUUGCCUGAGAAAGAAGCAGCCAGCCUCGUGAGAGGCAUCCCGCGAGGGAUGGCUCUGGCACAGAAACGACACAGCCUCUAGCAAGAAAUGAUUCAUGCGAUAAUCUAUGCGCUAGAGGAUCUGUUGAAACGGCCAACCUGGCUGGUGCAACUCCCGUUUGGGAGGCUUAGACAAAUGUUAGCGCUUUCCUUUCAUCCGUAUGGAUGAGGAAAGACAGAAAGUCGCCUACCUAGCUGCU
rnacentral:RNase_P_RNA from 1 species